CCGACCUGGCUCACACCGGUUUAAACUCAGAUCAUGUAAAAUUUCAAAGGUCGAACAGACCCAAUCUAUUAGCUCCUACACCAACAAUUUAUUUUAAUCCAACAUCGAGGUCGCAAUCUUUUUUUUCGAUAAGAACUCUAAAAAAAAUAACGCUGUUAUCCCUAAGGUAAUUCAAUCUUAUAAUCUAUAUUCUAGGAUCACCUACUCAUAAAUAAAUGUAUUAAUAUAAAAAAAGUUCAUUUAAUUUUUUUAUCACCCCAACAAAAUACUUCUUCAAAAAAUAAAACUUUAUAACCCUAGAACUCCAUUUUAUGUGAAAUAUAAAACUCUAUAGGGUCUUCUCGUCUUCUAUCUAAAUUUAAGCUUUUUGACUUAAAAAUAAAAUUCUAAUAAAUUUUAACAGAGACAGUCUUUUUUUCAUCAAACCCUUCAUUCGAGCUUUCAAUUAAAAAACUAGUGACUAUGCUACCUUUGCACGGUCAAAAUACCGCGGCCGUUUAAUCUAUCACUGGGCAGGCCAGACUUGAAAUUAUAAUCAACAAGACAUGUUUUUAAUA
rnacentral:rRNA from 1 species